rnacentral:lncRNA from 1 species
AUCGGGAAAAAUGGAAUAUCUCCAUUUUUUGCUAUGACGGCUUAAGGGCAGAAGAGUAAAAACGCAAACCGACCUUGGAGCUAGUAUAUAAGGAGUCCUAGGCGAGGAGCAGAAAAGGAGGUUUUCAGAGCAAACUUAGCACUUAGAGCAAUUUAGGCAACUUUCCGUUUUUGUUAUUUCGAGCUGCGACUCGAUUAGGUUUAGCCGUCUUAGGGUUAC